rnacentral:lncRNA from 1 species
UUCGUCACUAAAGACAGUUUAAUGAAGCAAAAGCCGACAAAAUAUCUCUUUUUCACGCCAUAAAUGCCGAGAAAAUAUUUCCUCCUGAAACUUUUCACAAAGGUAACAAAGUCGACGAAAUAGUUUCAUCACUAAGGGCAUUCAAUCAAGCAAAAGCCGACAAAAUAUCUCUUUUUCACGCCAUAAAUGCCGAGAAAAUAUUUCCUCCUGAAACUUUUCACAAAGGUAACAAAGUCGACGAAAUAGUUUCAUCACUAAGGGCAUUCAAUCAAUACUUACCUAAUAGCUCAAACCUGAAUCUCUUUUUUAAUUUCAAGAAGUAGAACCAUUUAAAAUAAGCUCAAGUCUAAUUCAAAGACGACAAGUAUAACUCUAUAUUAUAAAAGCAUUAACUCUGUAUUAUAAAGGAAAAAUUUGAGCAUGGGUGAAUGAAAAAAUCAUCCUUCUCACAAUUACUAGUAUUACUUUUCUUUCUAUUUUCUUGCGUAGGCCAAUUUUUUGGCGUGUUUAUGAUAAAAUUAUUUGUGGAGAGUUUUUUUUUUAUCAUUUUACUUUUUUAAUCUAAAAAUAAAAAAACAACUUUUUUAGCUACCCAAUUACAUCAAAUCUAUCGAAAGAAACUACACGCAUAGAGUCCAUAGACUAUUUCAGAAUUCACGUGUACACUUAAGGAAAAAUUUUAAUUCAGCAGUAAGACUAGAAAUUUACAUCAAUUCAGCGAUUUAACAAAUAAUAAUAUCAUUAGAUGUGGUGACUUCUAGACGCCUAAAAUUUAUCAUGGGCCUCACUCUCGUGGUCGUGAUCCGAUUAGUUCAGCUUUUAAGCUCAUAUGCCAAGAUAGACCAGGGGAAAACAUCACAUUAGUUUCGUAAACGUAGCCAUAUAUUUUCAUGAAAUACUAUUUAAAGGAUGGAUGAUAAAUAUAAGUUUGAAGAUUGACGAUCCUAUUUUUUAAGAUAAUUCUAAUGAAAUUAUAUGGUUAUAAUUAUUAAGUCAACAUAAUUUUUUUUAUGGAUGAUCUACGUUCCUAGACUUAAAAAAUGAACCGAUUAAAUCGUGGAAGCUGGAUUCUGGUGAGUCCCUUGAUUGGUAUGGUGCGAUCCAUAGACAAGUCAUUUCUUUUCUGUUUAUAUUUGACUUUUUCGUUUUAGGUUGUAUUUUUGCAUUUAGGGAUGGGCAUUCAACAAGUCGAGCUCACACUACAUAUAUAGAGGGUUUUGGUCUCCCCAAGUCAAGACCAACUCUAGUCCUAAAAACUUUUAAAUUCCUAAGGACCACUAAGCCUAUUUAUUCAGACUCUUAAAUGUUAAAUAUACUUAAGCAUUUACAUUAUAUUAGUUCUAAUUUUAAAAGUUAUGGUUUUUCUAUUUGCGUAGAAACCGAUCAUCUGGGAAUUGCACUGAUGAAUCUGGUGUUUCAGGAAAUGAUCUUAUCGUUUUUUUCAAUGCAAUCACUGUUGCUCCCACAACAAUAAUUAAAGUUCCCAAUUUAGCAUAAAAUGGAGAGGAAUUUGUUAUCAUAAAAUGAAGGGGGUGGUUGGUGGCGAUAGUGGGUGGUUAUACGUGCAUGGUGUUGGUGGUCUAGUUUCUAUUUAAUGAGCUAUGGGACCGAUAGCCAAUGCAUGUUCGCUCUUGUUGUUUUCAAAUGGAUCCUGAUCCAAUCUCCAUAGGUCCCAUAUCCCAUGCAGGUUCCCUAUUGUUGCUUUCAAAGGGAGCCUAAUCCAGUAACCUGUUGUGCUCAAAACUAAUUACGGAUCACACACACAAAAAACAAUAACGAUUUACGUGGUUCAGCCAACGAUGCCUACGUCCACGGAGAGAUAUCAAUAAUCCAUUAUCAAACGAAUGGAUUACAACGGAGGAGAGUCGAUCGCUCAACUCACACUCUCUCUUACAAUCUCUCUCUGUCUUGCCUCUCAAUCUCACCUCACAGCACUCUACUCUCAGCCCACAACACAACGCGUAGAAAAUCUAAGCACCCUACCCUCCCUUUUAUAGACCAAGGGAAGGAGGUGACAAAGUCGAUUUUGAGAAACUCAGAGGAAGGAGACAAAGUCGAUUUUGAGAAGCUGUACAACGACUGGAGUGCUGCAGCCAAAACAAGUCUCUUUCGCUCUCAAUUUGAUUGUGCGCACAAGGAAUGAGAGAUGGAGCUACAACAACUCGUAAAGUGACGUAUUUUGCAGGGCACGCCGGUGGGGGUGGGGGUUCAGGACACCUCGGUGAGAAGGUAAAGGCACUUCAGUGUGGAGGUGUAUACACUUCGGUGGAAGUGGAGUAGCCCGUUGAUAGGGGCAAGGUAUAUCGGAUGCUGUCUUGUAGAUCUUAUAGAGAAGCUGGACAAGAAGCUGUCUGGAUGAACAACUUGAAGAUAUCGAAUUACCCUCUAAUGGGUUGGAGGGGAAGAUUGUUGAAGUCCAGCCCAAUUGGAUGAGUCUAAGCCCAGUAGCCAAGCCCAAACUUGAUUGACUCACAUGGAGUGUCCAUGUGAGAAUGAAAAC